GACUGAGCACUGCAGCGACGCACCAUCAGAAGCUAUGGAGGCUAGCAUGCUAACUUCAGCAGGAGCAGAGGAUGUUUCGUCUCAGCUCAGGUGAACAGUUCGAUGCUGAGCUCACAACAUGUCUGUCAGGCUGAGCAGGAGCAGAUGGAGAACACAGCAGCUCGGACCGAUGAGAGCAGAGGAAGUGAAAUCCUGAUCAGUGUAGAACCAGAGGACGUGGCUCCAAUGUGCUGCCUUCACCAGACUAAAGGAGUGACAAAACUGCAGGGUGCUGCCAUAACGUUGAUUUACUCCUUCUAAGUGCAAAACAAUCAUUAAAUCAUUGUUAUAGCGGCAGACCUUAUCAAUGCUUAGGACAUCAAUGCUUAGGACAUCUGGUUUGAUAACAUCAAGAGAAUAA